UACGAAGGGGGCUAGCGUUGCUCGGAAUCACUGGGCGUAAAGGGCGCGUAGGCGGCCGAUUAAGUCGGGGGUGAAAGCCUGUGGCUCAACCACAGAAUUGCCUUCGAUACUGGUUGGCUUGAGACCGGAAGAGGACAGCGGAACUGCGAGUGUAGAGGUGAAAUUCGUAGAUAUUCGCAAGAACACCAGUGGCGAAGGCGGCUGUCUGGUCCGGUUCUGACGCUGAGGAGCGAAAGCGUGGGGAGCAAACAGG
rnacentral:rRNA from 1 species